GACCUGUAAAAGAAAUAGGAUGUAGACAGCAAGACAGCGAGUGUAAAUAUGGCACUAAUAAUAUCAGGUAGAAAAAAAUACUUUAUCAAUGUAAAACAGCGAGAGUAAAUACGGCUCUGAUAAUAUCAGGUAGAAAAAAAAAAUUGCUGGAACUGAAAAUACUUCAUCACUGUAAAACAUAGAAAUAUGUUCCAUUUACAGGUGUAACAUUUAGAUUGUUAGUGGUUUUAAAUCAGUCGAAGUCAUCACAUGGUGUUACAAUGAUACUCUAUAAUUGUGUUUAUGGGUACAAUGCAGAAAGCAAAGAAAAACAAAAUGUUAACGCUCACUCAGGAUUUGGUAACAACAAGCAGUGAUUUUUAAAUGUACAUACCUCCCUCUUUCCUUCUAAUUGACUGGUCAGAGAUAUCAAUCUGGAAAUGAGACAAUAACACCACAUUUACAACCACAAAAGUUUGAUGGCCACUGACUCCAACACAACACUUAUAUACAAAGGGUUUACACCUUUACUACAUCUCACAUCAGUCUCCACACCAAACCCCUCAACAGGUUUAUAAACACCUGACUAAUAUAAGGUGUUUAAAUCCUUACAAACAAGAUAAAUAUAGACUAUGGGGUAAUCUAUAAUAGCAUUUCAUGUAGGAAUAUGUAUAUUUUACUUCCUAAACAACAAAACUGAUAUUUUUACCAAUCAUUGAGAAUAAACAGAGGAAUUUACAAGAAACUUGAUUAGAACUUUGAGUACUAUGUAAAAAAGUUGAAAUCAGAUUGUUACAAUAUACUUGAAACCAAGGUGUUGAAGUCAGGACAGA